rnacentral:tRNA from 1 species
UCCCUGGUGAUCCAGUCGCUAAGACUCUGCGUUCCUAAGGCAGAAGACCCAGGUUUGAUCCCUGGUCAGGAAA